rnacentral:misc_RNA from 1 species
CAAUGGAACACAACAUAUCUGAUGCUGGUGGCUGCAUCUGAGCUGAAAGAAGUAUUUUCUUGCUUGGAUACAUCUGAUCCUGAUUACAAAGAUGCCCCAUCCAUGGAACACUGGAGGCGGGUUGAGACUAUAUGUGCUUGCUUGAGACCUCUUCGUGAUGCAGCCAACAUCCUUACCUCCACAAAUAGCCCAACUGCGAUUACAUUCUUCCAAGAAGUAUGGAAGAUCCAUAAUGAUCUGGCUCGUGCUGUUGCAAGUGAGG